rnacentral:rRNA from 1 species
CAGCACCUCAAGUGGUCAGGAUGAUUAUUGGGCCUAAAGCAUCCGUAGCCGGCGCUGUAAGUUUUCGGUUAAAUCUGUACGCUCAACGUACAGGCUGCCGGGAAUACUGCAGCGCUAGGGAGUGGGAGAGGUAGACGGUACUUGGUAGGAAGGGGUAAAAUCCUUUGAUCUAUUGAUGACCACCUGUGGCGAAGGCGGUCUACCAGAACACGUCCGACGGUGAGGGAUGAAAGCUGGGGGAGCAAACCGGAUUAGAGACCCGAGUAGUCC